CAACAAUGAUGCUACUGAUUGUUGUUACAGAUACCGAUGCUCAGAGAAGAAGACGGAAGACAAAAAAACCAACGACGCCACCAUGAGUAUCCACUUUUCAAGUGUCAGUGAUGAUGUCAUGUUCCCUGGAAUGGCAGCCAAGGUCUGCGGUGGGAUUCGUUGUCUAACACCGUGUACGUGAUAUGAAAUUUAAUGUUUCAAUUAGAGGUAAAAGUUAAGUACGUUUUGAAUGGAUGGCGGCAAGUAAGAGAAUGGAUGGCUGACUGGCUGUUGGAGUUGGAGUCUGGAGUAUGGAGCUGGCUCAAGAACGCAAAUUUAGUUGAGUCUUGUUGCCGCACAGCAGUACUGGUGGAUGUAUGUUCAUAAGUUGGAAAGGAAACCUGUUUUAUUGAUUUUAAUACUUUAUUACCUUCUUUGUAAAAUAAAAUUUAGUAUUAUUGUUGUGUUAACGAAAUUUUAGUUUAAGUGUUUUAUAUAGUUUGACAGUUGCUGUUUUCUUUUAAUAAAUUCACUUUAAUUAUAAAUUCCAA